GUCUUAGUAGCUCAGCUGGAUAGAGCGGCCCCCUCCUAAGGGGCAGGUCGGAGGUUCGAACCCUCUCUGAGACG
rnacentral:tRNA from 1 species